CACGUAGGGCGCAAGCGUUGCCCGGAAUUAUUGGGCGUAAAGAGCUCGUAGGCGGACUGUCACGUCUGCUGUGAAAAGCUGGGGCUUAACCCCGAGCCUGCAGUGGAUACGGGCAGACUAGAGGUAGGUAGGGGAGAAUGGAAUUCCCGGUGUAGCGGUGAAAUGCGCAGAUAUCGGGAGGAACACCGGUGGCGAAGGCGGCAUCCUGGACCAACACUGACGCUGAGCGAGCGAAAGCCAGGGGAGCAAACGGG
rnacentral:rRNA from 1 species